AUUGAACGCUGGCGGCAUGCCUUACACAUGCAAGUCGAACGGCAGCACGGGUGCUUGCACCUGGUGGCGAGUGGCGAACGGGUGAGUAAUACAUCGGAACAUGUCCUGUAGUGGGGGAUAGCCCGGCGAAAGCCGGAUUAAUACCGCAUACGAUCUACGGAUGAAAGCGGGGGACCUUCGGGCCUCGCGCUAUAGGGUUGGCCGAUGGCUGAUUAGCUAGUUGGUGGGGUAAAGGCCUACCAAGGCGACGAUCAGUAGCUGGUCUGAGAGGACGACCAGCCACACUGGGACUGAGACACGGCCCAGAAGCCUACGGGAGGCAGCAGUGGGGAAUUUUGGACAAUGGGCGAAAGCCUGAUCCAGCAAUGCCGCGUGUGUGAAGAAGGCCUUCGGGUUGUAAAGCACUUUUGUCCGGAAAGAAAUCCUUGGCCCUAAUACGGUCGGGGGAUGACGGUACCGGAAGAAUAAGCACCGGCUAACUACGUG
rnacentral:rRNA from 1 species